rnacentral:rRNA from 1 species
GAUGAACGCUGGCGGCGUGCCUAAUACAUGCAAGUCGAGCGAACAGAUGAGGAGCUUGCUCCUCUGACGUUAGCGGCGGACGGGUGAGUAACACGUGGAUAACCUACCUAUAAGACUGGGAUAACUUCGGGAAACCGGAGCUAAUACCGGAUAAUAUAUUGAACCGCAUGGUUCAAUAGUGAAAGACGGUUUUGCUGUCACUUAUAGAUGGAUCCGCGCCGCAUUAGCUAGUUGGUAAGGUAACGGCUUACCAAGGCAACGAUGCGUAGCCGACCUGAGAGGGUGAUCGGCCACACUGGAACUGAGACACGGUCCAGACUCCUACGGGAGGCAGCAGUAGGGAAUCUUCCGCAAUGGGCGAAAGCCUGACGGAGCAACGCCGCGUGAGUGAUGAAGGUCUUCGGAUCGUAAAACUCUGUUAUUAGGGAAGAACAAAUGUGUAAGUAACUAUGCACGUCUUGACGGGACCUAAUCAGAAAGCCACGGCUAACUACG